GACGAACGCUGGCGGCGUGCCUAAUACAUGCAAGUCGAGCGAAGUAUUUCUGGUGCUUGCACUAGAAAAACUUAGCGGCGAACGGGUGAGUAACACGUAAAGAACCUGCCUCAUAGACUGGGACAACUAUUGGAAACGAUAGCUAAUACCGGAUAACAGUAUUUCUCGCAUGAGAGAUAUUUAAAAGUUGGUUAUGCUAACACUAUGAGAUGGCUUUGCGGUGCAUUAGCUAGUUGGUGGGGUAAAGGCCCACCAAGGCGACGAUGCAUAGCCGACCUGAGAGGGUGAUCGGCCACACUGGGACUGAGACACGGCCCAGACUCCUACGGGAGGCAGCAGUAGGGAAUCUUCCGCAAUGGGCGAAAGCCUGACGGAGCAACGCCGCGUGAGUGAAGAAGGAUUUCGGUUCGUAAAGCUCUGUUGUUAGGGAAGAAUGGAUAUGUAGUAACUAUACAUGUAAGAGACGGUACCUAACCAGAAAGCCACGGCUAACUACGUG
rnacentral:rRNA from 1 species